CCUACGGGAGGCAGCAGUGGGGAAUCUUGCGCAAUGGGCGAAAGCCUGACGCAGCCAUGCCGCGUGAAUGAUGAAGGUCUUAGGAUUGUAAAAUUCUUUCACCGGGGACGAUAAUGACGGUACCCGGAGAAGAAGCCCCGGCUAACUUCGUGCCAGCAGCCGCGGUAAUACGAAGGGGGCUAGCGUUGCUCGGAAUUACUGGGCGUAAAGGGAGCGUAGGCGGAUAGUUUAGUCAGAGGUGAAAGCCCAGGGCUCAACCUUGGAAUUGCCUUUGAUACUGGCUAUCUUGAGUAUAGGAGAGGUAUGCGGAACUCCGAGUGUAGAGGUGAAAUUCGUAGAUAUUCGGAAGAACACCAGUGGCGAAGGCGGCAUACUGGCCCAUUACUGACGCUGAGGCUCGAAAGCGUGGGGAGCAAACAGGAUUAGAUACCCUGGUAGUCCACGCUGUAAACGAUGAGUGCUAGUUGUCGGCAUGCAUGCAUGUCGGUGACGCAGCUAACGCAUUAAGCACUCCGCCUGGGGAGUACGGUCGCAAGNUUAAAACUUAAAUGAAUUGACG
rnacentral:rRNA from 1 species